GGACCUUCGGGUCAGUGGCGGACGGGUGAGUAAUACAUAGAUAACGUACCUGGUUCUGGGGGAUAACGUCGGGAAACUGACGCUAAUACCGCAUAACCCAAUGCCUGCAAUGGUGUUGGUGAAAGAUUUAUCGGAGCUAGAUCGGUCUGUGUUGGAUUAGCUUGUUGGUGGGGUAAUGGCCUACCAAGGCGACGAUCCAUAGUUGGUCUGAGAGGAUGACCAGCCACAGUGGGACUGAGACACGGCCCACACUCCUACGGGAGGCAGCAGUAGGGAACAUUGCGCAAUGGGCGAAAGCCUGACGCAGCAACACCGCGUGAAGGAUGAAGCUUUUCGGAGUGUAAACUUCUGUCGGCAGGGAAGAAUUUUGACGGUACCUGCAAAGGAAGCAUCGGCUAACUACGUGCCAGCAGCCGCGGUAAGACGUAGGAUGCAAGCGUUGUCCGGAAUUAUUGGGCGUAAAGAGUUCGUAGGUGGUCUCUUAAGUCUGGUGUUAAAUCUCGGGGCUCAACCCCGAUACAGCAUUGGAAACUGAUUGACUAGAGUGCGGUAGAGGUAAAGAGAAUUCCUGGUGUAGCGGUGAAAUGCGUAGAUAUCAGGAGGAAUGCCAGAGGCGAAAGCGCUUUACUGGGCCGUAACUGACACUGAGGAACGAAAGCCAGGGGAGCGAAAGGGAUUAGAUACCCCUGUAGUCCUGGCCGUAAACGAUGGAUACUAGAUGUUGGAGGUAUCGACCCCUCCAGUGUCGUAGCUAACGCGAUAAGUAUCCCGCCUGGGGAGUAUGCCCGCAAGGGUGAAACUCAAAGGAAUUGACGGGGGCCCGCACAAGCGGUGGAACAUGUGGUUUAAUUCGAUGCAACGCGAAGAACCUUACCUGGGCUUGACAUCUACGGAAUCUUCAUGAAAGUGAGGAGUGCCUUCGGGAGCCGUAAGACAGGUGGUGCACGGUUGUCGUCAGCUCGUGUCGUGAGAUGUUGGGUUAAGUCCCGCAACGAGCGCAACCCUCGUGGUCUGUUGUUACAGGUCGAAAGAUGCUGAACCCUCAGGCCAGACUGCCGGUGACAAACCGGAGGAAGGUGAGGAUGACGUCAAAUCAUCACGCCCCUUAUGUCCAGGGCUACACACGUGUUACAAUGGGUAAUAGACAAUGGGUCGCUUGGCAGUGAUGUCCGGCAAAUCCCCUAAACUAUCCCUCAGUUCAGAUCGGAGUCUGCAACUCGACUCCGUGAAGUCGGAAUCGCUAGUAGACGCGGAUCAGCAUGCCGCGUUGAAUACGUUCCCGGGCCUUGUACACACCGCCCGUCACACCACGAGAGUGGAUCACGCCUAAAGUCGGUGUCCUAACCGUAAGGAGGGAGCCGCCAAAGGCAGGGUUCGCGAUUG
rnacentral:rRNA from 1 species